rnacentral:tRNA from 2 species
GCAAGUAUAGUUUAACCAAAACAUUAGAUUGUGAUUCUAAAGAUAGAAGUUAGACCCUUCUUACUUGCC